UUUUUUUUGGUCACUUCCUUUAACAACAAACUCGCAGUCGCUGAUUAUACAUGGCAGUGUGAGUAAAACUGUCUCCCCCUGGUGGCGUGGAGUGGACAGCUCCGUCAAUAAUGCUGCAUGGCGCAGACCAGACUCAAAACACAGCACUCUGUCAUCACUGAUGAGGAGAUUAUGGACCAGUGCAACCCCUCAGAAGUGCCUCCCUCCCCGAGCUCUCUCAGUAGCUGCCCACUACAAACAUGUGUUGCACCAGACCUCUCAGUGGUGUUAUUAGGAGAUGAUGUCACCAUCUACAGGCAAUACCACAGAAGUUACCUCCCCUUUUGUUGUAGUCGGUCGGUAUGUUUCCCGUUUGUUUGGGAACUAAUCAUUAGUGCAAUGGGUGCCACAUGGAAGAUCUGGCGAGGCAUUAAUAGUUGCCUUUUGGCCCUUCCUACCUCCGAGGGCCAGACAGGAAUAGAUGUAUCGUAACCUGAACGUUCACCAGGGUUUCUCACUACUUGUAGUUCCCCUCCAGUAAAGUCCGUUUUUCAUGUAUUGAGGAAGUAAGACAACUGCAUUGCAGAGGAGAAAAUGGUAUUUUAUUUUCACAUAAUAGAGUUCCUAUAAAAAGUAAAGAAUGCAAAGGACUGCUUGCCUUGUAAGUGUUCCCCUCCAGUUAAAUAUAUCACAAAAUAAAUAAAUCAUUACAAUACAGUCAAAACACAGUGGUUAAGUAUCAAACAUUUGCUUUAAAUGUGUUGCAUCCUCUAUUAUUUAAUGCUGUCGUGAUAAACUGACUGAUCACUUCCCUCAUCUUAUCCAUUUUCUAUCUCUCCCCUUUAUGUUGCAGAUUAUCUGGUGUCGUGCAGGAGAAUAUGGAUUAUAAAUAACAUCUUCUGCAUCUACCUCAGUACAUUAGCUGGGACAGUAUCUUCUGUGUUGUCCGCAUUACACACAUACUCCAGUUGCAAACUGUUUGGCACAGAAAAAAAGGAUAAAUAUUGCAUCCCAUGCCACAGAAAACACAGAUAUCAUCCUCUCCCACCAAAUAAAGUACAUGAUCUCAGUCAAAGUCAGGAGCAGAGACCAAAUCUUUGUGUAACAGUGUUAGUGCCUUUUUUCCAAAAUGAGAAAUGUCUCAGUAAAUGUCUUUAUUUUACAACUUUUUCAGUAUUGAAAACCUCUCUGUCCAGUGCUGCAUAUCCUCCUCCUCCAGUAGAGUCCACCACUUCACACCAUAAUUGGAAGGAAGUGGGUGGCCGUGUUCUUCCUGCGGGUUUUCUUCCCUCUCAGCGGCUUCCCGUGGACAUUCAGACCCACAAACAUCUGCCGCUUCUUGUUCCUCCACUCGGCCGAUGCGUACGUGUUGUAGCCGUUCUCCUCAAUCCGCUCCUUCAGGGUGCAGUCGACACCGAACUCUCUCUGGAAAAACAGUAGCAUCCUGAUUGACCCCUGACCCGGAUACUAACCGCUCCAUACAGCUCUCCCUUCCUGCUGAUAGCCAGAUAGUAGUUGCUGUUCAGCCCUUUGAUGGCCACCACUCCCACGUCCACCGAUGUGAUUUCCAGAAUACCUAGGAUUCAGCAAAAAAAAAAAAUGUUUUAUCAAUAUGUGUCAACAUUCAGAGUGAGCAUAAGCUUUUAUGUAAUAUUUGCAAGUGAAAUAAUUUGCAUGUUUCUAAGCAUUUGAAGCUCAACUACUGAGAAAAAACAACUUUUCACAGGGUUCUUUUCAGUUCACAGAGAAAACAGGAAGUACAUGUGAUAAAAAUGUGUUUGUGACUCGUAGGUAGAUAAGAUUACAGAAGAAUUCAAUCUCUGGGAUGAAUCCAUAAAGUUUUACAGACAUCGGUGAAAGUAUCUAAUGGAUAACAACAUAUUGCAAGCUCAUUCCAGGACAUUUAGGAACACACAGUGUGGGAAUUCUGCCUAAGUCCUAAAGCAAGAUUUAACGUUUUGGUGAUAUUAUAAAGUUACUUUACAACCUACACCUGUGCAACAGAUUCCAGCUGCGUAGGCCAUUUAGUUAGAAAAUUAAUAGGUGGAUACCGCAGAGAUUCUCAGGUUGUUUAUGUUCUGUUUGGUAUUUAUGUUUCCAAGUCCCUAUGCAAGCAAUUCAGGUUUCUCAUAGGCUAUUAGAGGGGCUAAUUUAUACCCCAGUUAACAAGGGUGGACUUUUGCCGCAGACAGCUGUGGUUAUUUGUGUGGUCUCAGUAUCAGAGGUCAGAGAGAUAUAACUUCCUAACGUGUCCUUUGACCACAGAUCCCACUUGUCUAGUGUGUGUGUGUGUGUGUGUGUGUGUGUGUGUGUGUGUGUGUGUGUGUGUGUGUGCGCGUGCGUGCGUGUGUUUGUGUUUGCGUGUGUGCGAUGCGUGGGUGCGUGCAUGUGUGUGUGCCAGUUAACCUCCCCUGUUCCCAUAGCAUGUUUGAUUUAAUGCCUCCCUCCCUGACUUCCUUUCCCCACUUCCUGUGAGCUGUCAUUACUUUAUCUUUAUCCCGAUAACCACACAUGUGUGUACGCACACACACGCACACAUUCAGACACACACAGCGUGGGGUGUGAACUCCAGAGAGUCGACGACAUCCUUUGAUCAGAUCAGCAGCCCCUCCUCUGUCUGAUGACUGUUUGUGUGGCAGCCUGCUCUACUGUCAGGCCCACUCUCCGGUGGCUGGGGGGCCUCUGAGGCUGCCAGCCUCGUACAUGAGUGGACAGUGGAGGAUGCAGGUGUGCCCCCAAAGAACAAUCCCUCUCUUAAAACAUACAGCAGCUUCUCUCUUCGUCCGUGAGGUCUUGACUGUAUCAGUUUCUAGUUCAAACAGUGGCACCUCGAGGCAGUGAGGUCUGAAGCGGCAAGGCGGUGGUGGGGACGGUAACACAACGGCCAUUGAAGAUCUGAGAGGAGCUGGUUUCUGUAUGGGAUCGGGUGUCGGGUAUGGAGUGAGGAUGUAAGACAAUCUAUGGCAGUCCCUGGCUGCUCUGUAAACAUGGGAGGGAUGAAAGGAAGGAGAACAGAGGAGGACAGAGGAGCCAUGACAGUGAGACUGGGGGUGGAGUGAGGAUUAGUAAGGCUGUAAUGAUCACUGAUCAAAGUCAGCCACCGGAGGCAGGGGCGAGACGGGUUGCAUUUACACACACAUGCGCGCACACAUACGUACACAGUAACACACACACACACACACACACACACACACACACACACACACACACACACACACACACACACACACACACACACACAGAGAUGAUAUUGUAGCAGGUGAAUGUGCACUUGCACACAACUUGCAAACUCAACCUGGCUGUGAAACACUGUUCUCUGCUGAAUGCUCAGCGUGGCCCAUCAGUGGAGAGUAAUGAGUUUAUGGCUGCGAGUAAGGGGAAUGCCAUACGCUUGCUCCAGAUUACUACAUUAGGCCUUAAAUUUGACAACAAUGCCUUGUACGUGGUACAUUUUCCAAACCACACAUGAAAAAUGUGGCCUUAACUCAGCCAGCCAUGAAGGUUCAGCUGUUUACUUGGGGAGACAGCAGUUUUUCUUUUGCA